rnacentral:rRNA from 1 species
AUUGAACGCUGGCGGCAUGCCUUACACAUGCAAGUCGAACGGCAGCACGGGUGCUUGCACCUGGUGGCGAGUGGCGAACGGGUGAGUAAUACAUCGGAACGUCCCUUAUCGUGGGGGAUAACGCAGCGAAAGCUGUGCUAAUACCGCAUACGCCCUGAGGGGGAAAGCGGGGGAUCGCAAGACCUCGCGCGAUUCGAGCGGCCGAUGCCUGAUUAGCUCGUUGGUGGGGUAAAAACCCACCAAGGCGACGAUCAGUAGCUGGUCUGAGAGGACGAUCAGCCACACUGGGACUGAGACACGGCCCAGACUCCUACGGGAGGCAGCAGUGGGGAAUUUUGGACAAUGGGGGCAACCCUGAUCCAGCAAUGCCGCGUGAGUGAAGAAGGCCUUCGGGUUGUAAAGCUCUUUUGUCAGGGAAGAAACACCGGCUCUAACACAGUCCGGGAAUGACGGUACCUGAAGAAUAAGCACCGGCUAACUGCGUGCCAGCCGCCGCAGUAA